rnacentral:lncRNA from 1 species
CCAGAAUGUUCCUUGCUGCAGAUGCAUUGGCCCCAUCUGCAGGUCCUCUUUGACACCUACCUUACUCUCUCCCUCCACUCACACUCUGAGAACUGUGCUCAGGGGCAGCGCUACAACUUCCACAUUGGUCUUUACAGGGCUUGAGUGAUUAUUUCAAGAACAGAACGCUGUGUGGAAACCUUUACCAUAUUUCGUUGUAUCUAAGACACAUUUUUUUUUUUUGAAAUUUAACAUCUCUAAGGUUGGGUUAUGUUUCUUCAUCAUUGUCAGGUUGGAGCUUAAUCAGCAGCACUUUUUUUUAAUGUCACACACAGUAAUGGUGAUGCAUCUCACAAUUGAGAUCAUCUUAGACAUGAUGGAAUAUGGAAUCGUGUGCCUGUUACAAGCCAGGCUCUUGUCUGGGUUCUAGAGACGGUGGAAACCAAGACAGCACCAUCCUCUAGUGGUGUUCACAUCCCACCACAGUGGAGUCAGGACUUUGAAGUCCUCCAUUGGAUCUUCUCGGAAGAUGAGGGAAAUGAGAGAGUGUGGAGAGAGAUUUUGUAAGUCCGGUCUGGAAGUGGUCAUUGUUCAGAAUCCAGCCACGUGGGUACAUGGAACUGUAAGAAUAUGUUCUGUGGACACUACAGAUGCAGAUUAAAUCACCUGCAAAGUGAAUCUGUCAGCCCUAACAAUAAGAAUAGCUCUUUUAUGAUGAGCAGGUGAGACCAGGUAAUUACCGAAGAAAGAGAGUGAUGUGUUCAUUGAAGUCUACUCAUGGAGGAAAGAAGAUUCUAUUACUCUUAAAUUGCAUAUGGUUGGUGUUGACCUAACAUCCUGACCUGUCAGUACAAUUUGAAUCCUGAUUCUGCCAUCAAACAUGCCAAUGAUUCCUUCCAUAAAUGUGGCUAUUUCAACAUGGGAAACUGAAAUCGGGCAUAUCCCUGCGGAAGAAGCUGUCUCUUAGCGAAGAAUAAAACUGUGGACUGACCCCCACCCAUUUGCGAAGAAAGUACUGGGUCUUCAGCUUUCAUUGUUCAGCCGGUGGUCUUUGUGGACAACACCAGGGGCCCCUCCUGCUGAAGACUGUCUGGACUUCCUGAUUUUCACUCCUGUAUAAACCCCCUCCCCCAUUACUACCUUUGUCUCCUUGGGGAAAAAAAAUGUUUUUCACUUAAGCAAAAUAAUAACUACCCAGUAUUUGUUUCUGGAGUGAAAUUGUAAACUUCAUUGUACAUUCUUCCUGGCUUUGAUGCUUAUCGUGAAGAGUUCAGUGAAAAUAAAUUGUUUUUAUGAAAGCAGAGAAACCAUUUGAUAAACACGCUGUCUCUGAAAAUCGUUCCUGCAAAAGAGGUCAUUCUUUCACUUUAAAAGAAAUAGAAUAUAUUUCAGAAAAC